CGUAGGGUGCAAGCGUUGCUCGGAAUCAUUGGGCGUAAAGAGCGUGUAGGUGGCUAGAUAAGUCGGAUGUGAAAUCCCUCGGCUCAACCGAGGAAGGGCAUUCGAAACUAUCUAGCUCGAGGAUGGCAGAGGAAGGUGGAAUUCCUAGUGUAGAGGUGAAAUUCGUAGAUAUUAGGAGGAAUACCGGUGGCGAAGGCGGCCUUCUGGACCAUUCCUGACACUGAGACGCGGAAGCGUGGGUAGCAAACAGGAUUAGAUACCCUGGUAGUCCACGCUGUAAACGAUGGGUACUAGAUGUUGUGGGAAUUGACCCCCGCAGUGUCGUAGCUAACGCGUUAAGUACCCCGCCUGGGAAGUACGGCCGCAAGGUUA
rnacentral:rRNA from 1 species